CUCUGAGUUCUUGGUGCUUUAUCUCUCUGUAACGAAUGCAGGAAAAUAUGAUUAUGAAGAUGUAACUACGCAUCCUAUUGAAGAAAAAUUGUCAUUUCCCCUGGGCAAAGGUGAAGGAUCAAGUUGCACCUGAGUACAUCCACUCACCCCUCUGACUUGGUGAUCAGUGUAUACUGCUCAGGGAUUAGAACAUUACUCACAUCAUGACUACUUUCCUGUGUUCCUGAGCUCAGAGGAAGACACAUGCAACGGAGAAGAAGCACAUAGCCACAUCACGUUAGACGAUUAAUAUGUAGAUCUCAAGAGGGAGGAUGAAAGAUGUGGGAAUGACUUGGUCUGGGGGAGAAAAUUAAAGCCUUGAAGUCUACCCAAGAACCAAACAGGAAAACAGCGAUAGCUAAAAGACAAGGUUUCUUACUAGGUUAUCAGAAGGAAAAUUUUCCUUCCAGGUUAAUUCAGCUGGGUAGAGCGAACACUGUUGUGUUUUGGAGAUAUGGCAAAGUUGAGCAGCAUCUGGGUGGAUAAGAGGUCUUCUCUUGACUAUCCGAACUUACUAUAGGGGAGAUGAAAAUAAAUACAAUAUUAAGGUUAGUCACAUGAACUUCUUUUAUAGGAGUACCGUAGGAGAGAGAUUUGUACUGCUGCUCAGGCUCAAGGCCAGUGAAGGGCUUGGAAUUAAUUUUAAGGUAUCUGUUUUGGUGGUAAAGGAAGAUUUUGUUGAGGGCUAAGGACUAGGCCAUAUUCACUGUCACUCCUCUGACUCAUCGAUCUUCUAUGAUGGGUAGGAAAAUCAAGUAAGAGAAACAUCGUGGCGAGACACACCUUAUAUUCCUCACUAUCCACUAAGUGACAUGAAGCUCACCAUUUCCCUCCAGUUCUCCCACCAGGGAUUUAUACAUAUUAAAUGUACAUCUUCUUUGCUUUUCCUUUUGUUGAAAAUAGAUUUUUUUUCUCACAUAAUGGAUCCUGAUUAUAGUUCCCAUCCGUCUACUCUCCUCCCCAGUUCCACCUCCCUUGCCCUCCCAUCUGGUUCAUCCCCUUUCUGUCUCUCACUAGAAAACAAAUACAUUUCUAAGGGGGUAAUAACAGAAUAAGAUACAAUGAGAUAAAAGCAAAAACUAACACACUGGAAUAGCACAAAACAAGCAAGCACAAGUAUAAGAGCCCAAAAGAAGGCACAAGAAUCAGAGACCCACUUGUUUUCCCACUCAGGCGUCACACAAAAGCCCUAAACUGAAAGCCAUAAUAUGUACCCAAGGAACCUGUAGAGUACAAAGAGAAAAAAAAAUACAAAUAAAAUUUA
rnacentral:lncRNA from 1 species